UGUGUAUAGUGGAUGUUAAAUGUGUGUAAUGAAUGCAGUGUGAAUAGUCUAUGCAGAUUGUAUGUUUGAGUAAUGUUUGUAGUGUUUGUGUGUAAAGAAAGAGAGAGUGUGUGUGUGUGUGUGUGUAUGUAUGUAUGUAUGUGUGUGUAUCUCACAAACGUGAGUACACCCAGGGAUCAAGUCCUGGGGAAUAAAGUGUGGGAACUCACCCAAGAUCCACCCACACCUCCCCCCAA